UGGGGAAUAUUGGGCAAUGGGGGAAACCCUGACCCAGCAACGCCGCGUGAAGGAAGAAGGCCUUCGGUUGUAAACUUCUUUUACCAGGGACGAAAAAGAAUGACGGUACCUGGAGAAAAAGCAACGGCUAACUACGUGCCAGCAGCCGCGGUAAUACGUAGGUGGCAAGCGUUAUCCGGAUUUACUGGGUGUAAAGGGCGCGUAGGCGGGGAUGCAAGUCAGAUGUGAAAUCUAUGGGCUUAACCCAUAAACUGCAUUUGAAAACUGUAUCUCUUGAGUGUCGGAGAGGUAGACGGAAUUCCUAGUGUAGCGGUGAAAUGCGUAGAUAUUAGGAGGAACACCAGUGGCGAAGGCGGUCUACUGGACGAUAACUGACGCUGAGGCGCGAAAAGCGUGGGGAGCAAACAGGAUUAGAUACCCUGGUAGU
rnacentral:rRNA from 1 species